UUUUGUGUAUUUAUGUGUGCAAUAAAUUAAAUAAAAAAAGGGGAAAAAGGAAAUACUUAAGAAUUGUGACGGCGCUGGAGCAGGUUGAACGGCCUAUGCAUAUGAAGGGAACCAUUGCUUUUGCGCGUUAACAGUGAAGUGCUGAUCAGCGGAUUUGCUUUGGUGUUGAACAGUGAUGAUUCUGAGCCCUCCAACUCUCAUUUCUUUUCCCACUUUUUCUCAAACAGGUUUUCUAUUGCUCUGUAUGCAUACACGAGUAAUUCUGCACUCUGUGGGGCUUGUUUGGUAGCAGAAAUUGAGCAGGGUUUAAUCUAAUGGCAUUUUUAAAUUCUACAGAUUCUUAAAUCCUGUUUUCCUCCAUUUUAUUAUAAAUCCUGGAUUUAGUAAAUCCUGUUGGGAGACAGCUUUAUCGGAUUUGGAGAAGCUGAAACGCAUUCUGCACGCUGUGGGGCUGUUUGGUAGCAGAAAUUGAGCAGGGUUUAAUCUAAUGGCAAUUUUAAUUUCUGCAGAUUCUUGACUCCUGUUUUUCCUCCAUUUUGCUAUAAAUCCUGGAUUUAGUAAAUUCUGUUGGGAGACUGCUUUAUCAGAUUCAGUGAAGCUGAAGGGCCUAAAGGCAGAUGGAAGGAAGGGGGACAAAGAUAAGCGUUGCCUUCCAAAAUGGUUUCGUGUUGGAGUGGGUAACAGGCGUCAAAGAUUGAGAUGGCUUCAUUUUUCUUAUUUUGGCUUUUCUGAAGCAUAAAAGAUUUGGAUUCUUCUCAUGCAUUGGCAUUGGAACAGCAGCUUGGAUGGUCCAUACCUAUGAGGAUAAUUGUUGCUUCCAUGAUGUUUUAAAUGGUACGCCGUCUUUUGUCUUUAUUUUUUUGAAAGGCUUUUUUUUAAAUCUCUAAAAUGAAAUAAAAAGAGAAAUUUUAUAUGCAUACCCCCAUAACCUUGAGUAUUAUAGGAUUGGGUGGAUGGACGGAUCGAUGAAAGGCUUUUUUUCGAAAUCUCUAAAAUGAAAUACCCCCAUGCCUCUUAAUUAUUAUAGGAUGGAUGGUUGGAUGCAGCCGAAAAUUGGCCUCCAUUUGAAGAAAAAAUUAAGAGAAUUAAUGAGAUUUUUAAGUGGAUGAGAUAAAGAUAAGACACUACCCAGAAAUUUUUCAUCUUUUCGUGAGAAUUUUUAGAUAUGGAGUUCAAGGUUUUUCAGAGGCGGAUGCUCUUAUGGUUAAUUAUCUUUGCCAUUACCUCUUUGAGCUUAAAGUGGAUAAUGGGGGAGAUGGUGCUGAACCCGAUUGAGAUUCUAUGGUUCUGUUGGUUUUUGGUCUCUACUUAUUCAGAGGACCCAUCCUCAUAGAAAGAUCAUCUUUAGCUGUCAUGGGUUGCUUUUUCCAAAGAAAUCUUGUAGACCUGCGAUUUAAGUUUGUUUAAGGCUGACAAAUUUAUUGAUUUUAAUUUACAAAAUUUGCUCAAGUUUGUAACCCAUGCGGGGGCUUUGGGGUUGUUGGGAUGAUUUGUAUUGGAGUAUCACUUUCUUCGAAAGAAGUGCAUCCAAUAAAAUGAGCGUUUAGCAAUUCAUACAAAAAGAAAGAUAUAUUAUGUGGUUCACAACUUUCGAGUAGAAUACGAUUGGGACAAAUUUUCAAUGACUUUUUAGAAAGGUUACGAAAUUCAGUUUCACUGUAAUAUUUUGUCUGCUUUUUGAGAAAUUUCAGUGAUAUGAUUGAAAUUUCUACUAUGUUGGAAUUUGCUAGCUGCAGAAAGUUUUUGAUAUCUUUUGAUUUACAUAUGUAUCACACAAAUUUCUUAUGUAUUUACAUUUCGAAUGCCUAAAUUUCAAUAUUUAACUUGGCCUGAAAGAUAAGAUGGGUUAUAAGUCAUAUAAAGUCAAUUUUCUCUCUCUAUACAUACAUGCUUACAUACACAUGCACUCACAAAUACACACACAUGCACUCACAAAUCCGCACACACAUAUAUACACCAAUGUUUUGGGUUCUGUCGUGGCGGCAUUUUCAAUGAUUUUCAAAAAUGUUAGUUAUGGCUCAUAUACCAUAUAAGGGACAGAUGCUGGAACGAAGCGGAGCGGGAUAAUCUGUCCAAUCAGGGGAGUUUCAUUAUGUACGCCCCGCGGUACGGUACAUGGGUAAUUUUGUAAUUACAUAUUAUACUUCAGGAUUUACUUCAGGGCUAUAUAGAUGCUUGUUUGUAACCCUAAGGUGUAUCAUAUAUUAUACUUCAGGAUUUACUCCAGAGCUAUAUAGAUGCUUGUUUGUAACCUUAAGGUGUAUCAUAUAUCCUGUAACAUUUUUUUAGAGUAGAAAGAAAGUCGUCGUUCUGCUCCCGAUGACGUAGGCAUCUUUGCCCCGAACCUCGUUAAAUCUUUGUGUUCUUUUGAAUUUGUGUUGAUUUCUGUUUUUCUUCGCCCUAAUUUCUCAACAAGAAAGAUACCGCAAUUCUGUUGGACCAUAAUAUUUUUGGCAGCUUUUCAAGAUUGAAGUUAGUUUCUUGGUUCUUGUAUCAGCUCUUUCAUUGGCUUACCAGUGAACUGCAAUUUUUUUUUUACCGUUACCUAAUAAUCAUCUCAAAAUCGCUGAAAAAUAGUGCAGGGUGAGGAAUUUAUUAUUUCUUUCCUAUAUUGGUGUUGAUGGUUCUCAUGAAUGAUAUUUUAUGCGUUUUUGUUUAAGGUAAUUUUCAAUUUUAUCUUCUAUUAUCAUCAUGAGAAGCUAAUGGAAAGGCCUGUAUAUAAUGUAUGUGUAGGAUUUUGCAGAUCUCUCGCACCCUUCGGACCUCAUUGCCUUCCUAAUUUUCUGAAUGCUGCAAGCUAAGGCACACCCAAACUCAAAUGGUAUGCAUAAAUACAUCAGUGAUGGUGGACUCCAGAAAAAAACUAUUGACUCAAAAGAAAACUUAGAGGAACUUCUGCUGUACUGUAUGUAAUUAUUUCUAUUUCCUUAUUUUAAAGAAAUUAUAUACAUACACGCACAUAUAUAUAGACACACAUAUCCAAAAAGUUCAGUGUAAAUCUAACAGCGAUCCAUUGAUGCAGAUGAGGAAACAUGAUGAAGGGAGAUCCCCCUUCAAGGAGAUUACAGGACCUAUCGAGCUAGCUGAGCCAUGUUAACCGAGUCAAUUGAUGCGAGUAUGGUCGACCGGUAUCAACCAUGCAACUCAGCUGGAAGCUCAUCAGAAGAAUGCCUGAAUUAUACGAAAAAUACCUGAUUCAAUACAGAAGCUUAUCAUACGAGAGAGCCCACUCAAGGGAAGGUCUUCGACAAUCCAGCGGAGAUGAAAAAACAGCGGAUAGGAGGGCUGGUGGUAAUGAGGCAGCAGUUUGUUACUGUUUUAUAUUUUCCAGAUGCUGUGCUUAUGCUCUUUAAGCUUUCAUUGUGGAAAGCAAAAAUUAAGAGAGAUUUUAUUGCAGUUGAUUUACUUGUGUGAAUCAGAUUUUUGUACACUAAAACCAAACACUAAUUAGACGAACUAAUAAAUUUA